rnacentral:rRNA from 1 species
UACCAGCACCCCGAGUGGUCGGGACGAUUAUUGGGCCUAAAGCAUCCGUAGCCGGUUCUGCAAGUCUUCCGUUAAAUCCACCUGCUCAACAGAUGGGCUGCGGAGGAUACUACAGGGCUAGGAGGCGGGAGAGGCAAGCGGUACUCAGUGGGUAGGGGUAAAAUCCUCUGAUCCACUGAAGACCACCAGUGGCGAAGGCGGCUUGCCAGAACGCGCUCGACGGUGAGGGAUGAAAGCUGGGGGGAGCAAACCGG